rnacentral:rRNA from 1 species
GAUGAUUCUUAACUGACUGAGCGGCGGACGGGUGAGUAACGCGUGGGUGACCUGCCCCAUACCGGGGGAUAACAGCUGGAAACGGCUGCUAAUACCGCAUAAGCGCACAGAGCUGCAUGGCUCGGUGUGAAAAACUCCGGUGGUAUGGGAUGGGCCCGCGUCUGAUUAGGCAGUUGGCGGGGUAACGGCCCACCAAACCGACGAUCAGUAGCCGGCCUGAGAGGGCGACCGGCCACAUUGGGACUGAGACACGGCCCAAACUCCUACGGGAGGCAGCAGUGGGGAAUAUUGCACAAUGGGGGAAACCCUGAUGCAGCGACGCCGCGUGAGCGAAGAAGUAUUUCGGUAUGUAAAGCUCUAUCAGCAGGGAAGAUAAUGACGGUACCUGACUAAGAAGCCCCGGCUAACUACGUGCCAGCAGCCGCGGUAAUACGUAGGGGGCAAGCGUUAUCCGGAUUUACUGGGUGUAAAGGGAGCGUAGACGGCAAGGCAAGUCUGAUGUGAAAACCCAGGGCUUAACCCUGGGACUGCAUUGGAAACUGUCUGGCUCGAGUGCCGGAGAGGUAAGCGGAAUUCCUAGUGUAGCGGUGAAAUGCGUAGAUAUUAGGAAGAACACCAGUGGCGAAGGCGGCUUACUGGACGGU